CCCUUAGAUGUCCUGGGCCGCACGCGUGCUACACUGACGCCUACAGCGAGUACUUCCCAGCCCCGAGAGGUGGCUGGUAAUCAGCAAUAGGCGUCGUGAUGGGGAUAGAUCUUUGGAAUUAUGGAUCUUGAACGAGGAAUGCCUAGUAAGCGCAGGUCAUUAGCCUGCGUUGAUUAAGUCCCUGCCCUUUGUACACACCGCCCGUCGCUCCUACCGAUUUCGAGUGGUCCGGUGAAUCUUUCGGACUGCGCGCGGCUUCGUGCCGUGUCGCGGAAAGUCAGGUAAACCUUAUCACUUAGAGGAAGGAGAANUCGUANCA
rnacentral:rRNA from 1 species